rnacentral:rRNA from 1 species
UACGAAGGCCACAAGCGUUAUCCGGAUUUAUUGGGCGUAAAGGGCGCGUAGGAGGCGCGGUAAGUUUUCAGUAAAAUUCCAGGGCUCAACCCUGGGGCUGCUGGGAAUACUGCCAUGCUAGAGGGCGUUAGAGGCAGAUGGAACACACGGUGUAGGGGUGAAAUCCGUUGAUAUCGUGUGGAACACCAAAGGCGAAGGCAUUCUGCUGGGACGUUCCUGACUCUGAGGCGCGAAAGCGUGGGGAGCAAAAAGG